rnacentral:rRNA from 1 species
UACGGAGGGAGCUAGCGUUGUUCGGAAUUACUGGGCGUAAAGCGCGCGUAGGCGGCUUUGUAAGUUAGAGGUGAAAGCCCGGGGCUCAACCCCGGAACUGCCUUUAAGACUGCAUCGCUUGAAUCCGGGAGAGGUGAGUGGAAUUCCGAGUGUAGAGGUGAAAUUCGUAGAUAUUCGGAAGAACACCAGUGGCGAAGGCGACUUACUGGACGAUUGUUGACGCUGAGGUGCGAAAGCGUGGGGAGCAAACAGG